CUUUUAAAAGCGCAACGACUAGGACUCAUGUUGGAGGAGUUUUGAGCAUGAGCUACCACUCAUGCAGCGGCAAGGACCCGUUACUCUCGAUGAUGAUCCAUAAUGGUUCCAGCAUCAUCUUUGCUCCACAUUUUCACAAGUCCUAAUCUUCUAAUUGAGGCCCCUUCUUACGAUCUUUCUAUUGCCUAUAUUGAAGUAGGUGAGCUAUUUGUAGUUAUUGUGAAAUGAUUCAAGCACAGUUUCUUCUUGUCGAGGCUAUGCUCAUAUAAUUGUCUCCAUGAAAGAUCAAGAUGUGCAGAAACAGAACAGCAGAGUGGUUCCUGUAAGAUUCUUCUACUUUCGUUGGCCAUACCUCAAGAUAAGAAUGAAAACUUAGUGCGGAUCAAAGUAUCAAAACUCAAUUGGUG